rnacentral:lncRNA from 1 species
GGUGGGGGGAAUUAGCCAGGGAAGAGGCCCAGGAGUGCUGAUGAGAGGGAUAGAUUGCAAUUUUGAAAACGGAUCAAGGAAGGUCUCACCGAGGAGGUGAGAUGGGAAGCCAGGGGUGGUUGCAUCCCUGCUUUUGCUGCUUGACUCUGCUCUUACUCCUAGAGGGCACAAUCUGUCAGCAAAUCCUGCCUGCUGGGCCUUCUCAUCACAACCAGAGCCAAACCACUUCUCAGCACCUCCGUUGCUUCCGCCCUCGUCUGAGCCUCCACCGCUCUCACCUGGGCGCCCUAUUUCCACCUUGUGCCUUCUGUCGAUUCCUCACUCACCAGCCCGAGGAAUCCUUGCACAGAAGUCAGAUCACAUUCCUUCCCUGUUGUCAAGGGAAGAAGACAAAUGGGCAUGAGAAGGAGAGGAUCAGGGGCUUGGAAGCCAAGAUUUUGCCAAUUUGACUUAUGCAACUUGGGCAAAAAAAAAUUUUGAGCCUCAGUCUUUUCAUCUGUGAAAUAGGGAUAACAAACUCUGAUACGAGGGGUCAGUAGUGACAAGGAUGUGAAAGCAGCCAUGAUGGCAUGGCAGGGCCUAUCUGGAGUUUGGCCUUUGCAAGGGGGUAGAUGACACCCUUGUGUGUUCUAGGUCCUUUGAGAUAGAUUAUCUCACUGAAGGCUCAGCAACUCCGCGGUGUUCCCAGAGGUGAGGAAACACACUGAGAGACAGAACACGACUUGGCCAGGGCCACCCUGUGGGGCACGCUGGCACCUGCACAGCCCAGCUUCACCUGGUUCCAGCCCUGCCCGCGCUCUGCUCCCCACUUCCCGUAACUCUGGGCUGGCGUCAGCAGGCAGGCCUGCCAGGAGGCUGGAGCUGCCAACGACCUAUUUUUCUAGGCAAGAAGAGCCAUUUGGAGUUAGAGGUCUCAGCUGUGAAGCCAGAACAAUAAAAAUAAAAACAGCGCGGACUCCUGGGCAGCCUGGACCAGGGAACCAACUGCCCCAAGAGUUGCUGCUCACCAGGCUGGAAGGCCUCCAUCCAACCACAGCUGCACAGGCAUCAGAGCUUUGGUUCUACAACGUGAGCUGAUACCAAUAGCCCCUGGAGGGAUUGUUAAAACACUGAUUCCAGGGCCCUAGCCAUGGAGUGUCUGAUUCAGUAGGCCUUAGGUGAGGUCUGAAAAUCUGCGUUUCUAACAAAGUCCCAGGUGAUACUGACACUACUGAUUCAGGGAUCACACUUUGAGAACCGCUGAAUAGACUGCCAUUCAAGCCAAGCCAAUCCUCUUGGCUCUACCUUCAAAAUAAACCCAGAAUCCAACCACACCUUCCCACCUGCAUCACACUCCGGUCCCAGUACCUUCAUUUCUCACCUGGAUUAGUGCGGUCACUUCCUCACUGGCUCCGUACUUCCUGGACUCCCCACCUUGUUGCUUCUUCAAUAAAAGCCUCCCAAUGGC